GAUGAACGCUGGCGGCGUGCCUAAUACAUGCAAGUCGAGCGAACAGACGAGGAGCUUGCUCCUCUGACGUUAGCGGCGGACGGGUGAGUAACACGUGGAUAACCUACCUAUAAGACUGGGAUAACUUCGUGAAACCGGAUCUAAUACCGGAUAAUAUAUUGAACCGCAUGGUUCAAUAGUUAAAGACGGUUUUGCUGUCACUUAUAGAUGGAUCCGCGCCGCAUUAGCUAGUUGGUAAGGGAACGGCUCACCAAGGCAACGAUGCGUAGCCGACCUGAGAGGAUGAUCAGGCACACUGGAACUUAGACACGGUCCAGACUCCUACGGGAGGGAGCAGUGGGGAAUAUUGGACAAUGGGCGCAAGCCUGAUCCAGCCAUACCGCGUGGGUGAAGAAGGCCUUCGGGUUGUAAAGCCCUUUUGUUGGGAAAGAAAAGCAGCAGGUUAAUACCCCGCUGUUCUGACGGUACCCAAAGAAUAAGCACCGGCUAACUUCGUG
rnacentral:rRNA from 1 species